rnacentral:rRNA from 1 species
CUGAACCUUCGGGGAACGUUAAGGGCGGCGAGCGGCGGAAAGGAGAGUAAUGCCUGGGAAUAUGCCCUGAUGUGGGGGAUAAUUAUUGGAAACGAUAGCUAAUACCGCAUAAUCUCUUCGGAGCAAAGAGGGGGACCUUCGGGCCUCUCGCGUCAGAUUAUCCCAGGUGGGAUUAGCUUGUUGGUGAGGUAAUGGCU